rnacentral:rRNA from 1 species
UCAAGUCGGUCGAGACUAACCGCUAAAUUUAAGCAUAUUACUAAGCGGUU